AUGGCUCUNUGNNNNNNNNNNAUAAAGAGUUUGGCCUGCCCAGUGAAUAAUUUUAACGGCCGCGGUACUCUGACCGUGCGAAGGUAGCAUAAUCAUUUGUCUUAUAAUUGAAGUCUAGAAUGAAUGGCUUGACAAGAGUAAUGCUGUCUUUAACUUUCUAUUAUAAUUUUAUUACUAAGUUAAAAAGCUUAGAUACGAUUAAAAGACGAGAAGACCCUAUCGAGCUUCAGGAAAUUACUAAAAUUCUUAACAUUUAUGUAAAUAGAAUAUUUUAUAAAACUUUGGUUGGGGCGACCCGAGAACAAAAAAAGCUUCUCAUAAUAAUAUUUAUUGGUUGAUUUAGAUCCACUUGUUGUGAUAAAAAGAAUUAGUUACCGUAGGGAUAACAGCAUUAUCUUUUUUGAGAGCUCUAAUCGAAAAAAAGGUUUGUGACCUCGAUGUUGGACCAGCAUAACCUGAAGAUGUAGAAGUCUUUAAAGGUUGGUCUGUUCGACCAUUAAAAUGCUACGUGAUCUGAGUUCAGACCGGCGUGAGCCAGGUUGGUUUCUAUCUUUUAUUUUAAUAUUAAAUCUAGUACGAAAGGACCGGUUUAUUUUACUUAGUAUUUUUAAAGAAUUCAUUUAAUAAAUACAUAAUAUACUAGAAUAUAAUGGUGGCAGAAUUUAAUGCAUUAGAUUUAAGCUCUAAAGAUAAAGAUUAAUUGUCUUUCCUUUAUAUUAAAGAAUUGGUAUA
rnacentral:rRNA from 1 species